rnacentral:lncRNA from 1 species
GAAAAGAAAAGAAAAGAAAAAAGAAAAGAAAAGAAAAGGAAUGUAAAUGCCUUGCUGCAAGAAGCAAAGUAAAAUGAUGCAGCUGGCGCAGCCGAGGAAAUUGGACCAACACAUUGCUGAUAGUAAGGCAUCAAUAAAACACUCUAUGAUGAAUUACGGUAAGAAGUUCAUAGUUCAGUAAGAUGAUCCCUUGUUCCCUGUGCAAAUUAGAUUUACUGGAAUCUUUUGUUUCUUGCUUGCUGAUUUCUGUAAAAUUAUAUGAAGUGAUGGGAUUAGCUAAGAAGCAGUGUUCUCCUUGUGCUUCCCCUGAAAUAUGUGUAGGAUGCUUCCCUCCAAGGACCGGGAUGCUGCUUGCUUGACUUAACAACACUGGCAGCUUCCAAAUUUUGGUUAAAAGCCCCCUUGACAAGAUCCAAUAUUUAACUCUCUGUGCCCAUUCUUAAAGACCACUGAAAAUAUUAUAUGGUCCUUGUAGGAUGCCUUCUGCAAAUGUAACCAGAAAGAUAUAUACACAAAUUUUAAUGCCAAAUUUAUCCUUCUUUUGGAUAAACAGGAGAGGGCUUCUGGGAACUUCAACAGAGAUAACUUUUUUUUUUUUCUAUUAUUAACUCACUAUGAGGUCAUGCAUAUGGCAAAAAGUGAGUGAGUACCAGUGGCUGUGUGUUGAUUUACCAUCGGCAUCAGAGCUUACACCAUCCAACCUGGAAACCCAACUGUGUGCUCCAUCCAUCACCAACCCAGAGCCAGCCCCCACUGCAUCCCCAGUAGCCCUGCAGGCAGCAGCAGGCAGCAUCCACCAGGAGUUAGGUGCUGCUGGAGCAAGCCCAGAGGUGUGCAGACCUUCAAAGACUGUGGGUAUGCCUAACUGUAUUCAUGUUAGGUGCCCUUUGACUUCAGCCACAACAGAGGUGAUCCCAUCGCAAGUGAAGGAAACUUCCACAAGGAUAGCUAUGUUAAAAAAAAUAAAUAAAUUAG